GAACCUUACCUGGGCUCGAAAUGUAGUGGACCGGAGUAGAAAUAUUCCUUCCCCGCAAGGGGCCGCUAUAUAGGUGCUGCAUGGCUGUCGUCAGCUCGUGUCGUGAGAUGUUGGGUUAAGUCCCGCAACGAGCGCAACCCUUAUCCCCAGUUGCCAUCAUUAAGUUGGGCACUCUGGUGAAACCGCCUCGGAUAACGGGGAGGAAGGUGGGGAUGACGUCAAGUCCUCAUGGCCUUUAUGUCCAGGGCUACACACGUGCUACAAUGGCCGGUACAAACCGUCGCAAACCCGUGAGGGGGAGCUAAUCGGAAAAAGCCGGCCUCAGUUCGGAUUGUAGUCUGCAACUCGACUACAUGAAGCUGGAGUCGCUAGUAAUCGCGGAUCAGAAUGCCGCGGUGAAUACGUUCCCGGGCCUUGUCACACCGA
rnacentral:rRNA from 1 species